rnacentral:rRNA from 1 species
ACGCUGCGGCGUGCUUAACACAUGCAAGUCGAGCGAUGAAGCUCCUUCGGGAGUGGAUUAGCGGCGGACGGGUGAGUAACACGUGGGUAACCUGCCUCAUAGAGGGGAAUAGCCUUUUCGAAAGGAAGAUUAAUACCGCAUAAGAUUGUAGUACCGCAUGGUACAGCAAUUAAAGGAGUAAUCCGCUAUGAGAUGGACCCGCGUCGCAUUAGCUAGUUGGUGAGGUAACGGCUCACCAAGGCGACGAUGCGUAGCCGACCUGAGAGGGUGAUCGGCCACAUUGGGACUGAGACACGGCCCAGACUCCUACGGGAGGCAGCAGUGGGGAAUAUUGCACAAUGGGGGAAACCCUGAUGCCAGCAACGCCGCGUGAGUGAUGACGGUCUUCGGAUUGUAAAACUCUGUCUUUAGGGUACGAUAAUGACGGUACCUAAGGAGGAAGCCACGGCUAACUACGUGCCAGCAGCCGC